CAACAGCCUGGCAGAAGGGCCAUGUUGCAAAUCCAGCCGUCAGAGAAGCAGUUAUGAUUUUUUGUACACACUGACCUGUGCCCUGCAUACUCUCUCGUGUACCAAUGGAUAAUCAGUUAAUUAAUGAUGGUGCUAAGCUCCUGGAUGCACAGAACCCUAGAGGGUGUGCCAUGAUGCACUGUUGCUCCUCCCCAUCUCCCAGCAUCUGCUUCUGCUAUCAGGAUCAGCGCAGAGACACACAGAGAGCGGUGAAGACAUGGAGGUGUCCAGCAAAAAACCCUCUCUCCCUUUAUUGCUAGUGACACUGAUCAGCCUCUCUCCAGAUAUCCUGGUUGCCCAAGCACCGACUCCCCGCCACCUGGUGAAUGGGACUCUGGGAGGAUCGGUCGUGCUGUCUGUGGAUCUAUCCCCCGGGAAAAAGAUGAAAAAAAUCGAAUGGAGCUUUAAGGCUGGGACAGGUGUGACGAUCCAGCUGGCUGAGUUCAAUGGGGAGAAGUUUGAGCGACCGGAUCCCAGCGACAGAUUUCAGCAGAGGCUAGAAAUGUACAACGAGACCUCGCUGAGGAUCAAGGCUCUGGAGCUGGGCGAUAGCGGAGUUUAUGAGGCCCGGGUUAAGAUCCUACCAGCAACUGUGGAGGAUCAGGCCUUUCUCCUCGCGGUCUAUGAGCCAGUGCCACAGCCCCGGAUCCGGAGUCAGCUGCUCGCCAGCACGCUGGAAGGGUGCAACGUCACACUGCAAUGCCAGGGCUCGGGGAAGGGAAAUGUGAGCAUCUCCUGGGGGAAAGGGAACCCGGUCCAAGAGCUGGAUCCGGCUCGGCACCAGCUCUCCCCUGAUGGCAGGACACUCCAGCUGUCUGUGCUGCCCAGCUCCUGGAAUGCCACCUACACCUGCACGGUCAGCAACCCCGUGGAUCAGAAGAUCGUCUCCUUCGACCUGCAGAGCAUCUGCCGCAGUGGAGAUGCAGACGCAUCCUUCUCGAAGCCAGGGUACAUUGUGCUGACUUUCUUCCUGUUAGUGCUAAGCCUUGGGACUGCGGUCUGGUGUUGGCGGAUGAACAACGAGAAGUCAGCUGACCCGGCUGCCACCCCCACGGGCCCAGUGGAAGAAAGUCCGUCCGACCCACAGUACAGUGAGAUCUUGAGGAGUCCCCCAGAAGGCCCUACGUCACCUGGAAAAUAACACAGAGCGGAGCCCACAGAAAGAGCCUUUAAUCACCACAAUCUACGACCAGCUCCAAAGGACCCCCGAGAAUACAUCCGAGGAGGUCACAUAGGCCCCCAGGAACCAGAUGUGGUGGCGUAUCAGAGCUUACCAAGGGCUUUGAAGUGCACCGUGUGCCCCACUCAAACUCUGUAGCUGAACGGUCUCAGUUCCACCCACAAACCCGAAUGGAAAAAGACACCUUCUCCAGCUCCGGAGCCUGCCUUGCGACGCUUCCCCACCCCCGUGUUGUUUCAGAACCUCGUGUGUGAAGCCCUCAGCAACUGUUUUGGGAAGGAGGAACCCGAGUGAAGGCGGAGGAGCAGACUCUGGGAGGGAACAGGAGCCCGUGUUUCCAUGGUUGGUGCACUGGCCUCCAGCAGGGGCAGAAUCCCAUCAUCCACUGCGGAGCGGAGGGUGGUGAGAGGGAACGUGCCACGGUGCAGAAUGGCCCGUGCCGAGAAGGAAACCGCUCACGUCUGAGCCUGGCCUGCUAGCUGCAUGACUGUGGAGAAGCAACAUCGGAAAAUGGGCUCCCCCGGGAUGCAGGCAUCCUUCUGGCUGUGUGAUGCUGCAGGGCUGUGGGCUGGGAGGGACUUGGAUGCAUCAUGUAUUUAUUUAUCUAUUCCGUUUGAUAAUGCUAGCCCUGCAGGGUCGAUGUACAUGUGACUGAGACAUUGGAUCCGGGGGCCUGUUCUCUUUGUGAUCCUUGGAGGAAGGGAAGUUUUCUAAAGUAGAAAUAGGAACAGAUGGUGCUGUGCCUUGCGGGGAGGGGAACUAUAGGCGGGGGAGAGGAAGGUAGGAGGGUGUCUGAAUUAGUGACUGACUGAGGGUACUGGGGAUUGACUGAGUAAAGGGCAGUCAGAUUGCAGUUUGCCGCAAAACAUUCUGGAUCCUGUGGGAGAAAUAAAAGCAAAAUCUCCCUGCGUGCCAAAUACCGCAAGGCAGAAAGGCGCAGGGGCAAAGCCACACGUGGCCGGCAGAAGAGCAGCACAGAAUGUCAAGCUCGCAGCAGGCUCUUCCCAUGGCUAUUCUGGCUGAGACCGGGGCGGGAAGGUGUUGAGGAAGAUCCGGGGAGCUGAGGGUGACUUGGCAGAAGUGAUAUUAAUGAGGGACAAACUGACCGGGUUAGAGAGUCAGGGCUAGAUUCUGCCACUCUCGCCUUCGCCUGCUGGGAUCGCUAGGAUUGCUCGGAGCAAGGUGCCACUGAAGGUGAGCCAGGGCGGUAGAACCUGGCCGUGGGGAAGGCCCUGAAGCUCAAGCUGAGGGGCACAAGCUGCAGGGCAGAGCUGAGCCCCGCCACGAGCAACCUCAAGAAAGAAUCGGAGUCGGGAGUCUGGUUCCAGCCCUUCCUGCCCCCCAGAGCAAUUCAGUAAGUUACUGCAGUCACUGAAAGGGAGCAUGUGUCCGCUUGCUUAUAGGGGUAAUGUCUAGGGAGGGGCGACCCGAGAUCUGGAAGGUCUUUCUCUUCCCCCUUACACCCCUACUUGGCCAAGGAAGAGAAGGACACAGUCUAGCGGGAGGGACAAUGAGCGUGUCUUGUAUUGGCCUGAAGAUGCUACACAGGAUGGUGGUUCCCUGUAGAGGUGAAUGGCAGAGGUGUGGGUGUUAAUGAGGGGUAGCUAGCCCCACGGUGUUCUGUUACUGGGCGCCUGGCCUUGCUGUUACUACAUCAGAGGGGUAAUUGUGAUUUGGCAUCUGUACCACCCCCCUGCUGUUUACAGCCCUCACACCAUGGAAACCCUCUCCGAGAGCUGCUAAGCAACCCUCAGACAUUAAAGGACCUGGAAGACCAGCACAAAGUGGCCCUGUGUUCCAGGAAAGUUCCCCUUUAAGUUCCUAGAAGCUCUUCAGAGGGGAAAUCAUCAAAAGCCCAAAAAUCUUUCAGGGGCCGGGGGGGAGGAAAAGAAAACCUGCUGCCGGAUUUGGUUGGGCAGCUGGGAUCAGGAUUGUUCGGCUCUCUAGUGACACAUGCAAGACGGGGAGAGUUGGGCAGCCCGCGGUGAUCCCGGACCCACCUCCCACGCACUAACUGGGAAAAGCUGUGGCGGGGGAAGGCAGCGUGGGUCUAGUGCUUGGAGGAUCGCCAUGCUUCCUUUCUCCUGUCUGUCCUGUCUAUUGACACUGGGGAUUGACUGGCUAGUCGGGCAGAGCCUCGGCCCUCAUCUCAGUGGGCGACUCCAGGCCUUCUUGUAAUAUAACUGAAAACAGAGCAGGAGCCUCUCUUGGGAAAUCCAACGGUGGUUUGUGUGUGUGGAGAAGUAACCCCCUCCGCUGAAGUGUUUCCAAGUCUGCUUUUGCCCUGGCUUCAGUCCCCGGUUAGAUUAGUCUGUCCAAUAAAGCAUCGGAUGAUUUGUGCUAUUUUCAUGCAAAUAUAAGGAAAUGUAUGCAAAUUUA